rnacentral:rRNA from 1 species
UACGGAGGGUGCAAGCGUUGUCCGGAAUCACUGGGCGUAAAGGGCGCGUAGGCGGCUCAUGAAGGCUGUGGUGAAAGUCCGGGGCUCAACCUCGGAUCGGCCGUGGCGACUCGUGGGCUGGAGCACUGUAGAGGCGGGUGGAAUUCCGGGUGGAGCGGUGAAAUGCGUAGAGAUCCGGAGGAACACCGACGGCGAAGGCAGCGCCCUGGCCGCCAUCUGACGCUCAGGCACGAAAGCUGGGGGAGCGAACAGG